GUGGGGAAUCUUGCGCAAUGGACGAAAGCCUGACGCAGCCAUGCCGCGUGAAUGAUGAAGGUCUUAGGAUUGUAAAAUUCUUUCACCGGGGACGAUAAUGACGGUACCCGGAGAAGAAGCUCCGGCUAACUUCGUGCCAGCAGCCGCGGUAAUACGAAGGGGGCUAGCGUUGCUCGGAAUUACUGGGCGUAAAGGGCGCGUAGGCGGACAGCUUAGUCAGAGGUGAAAGCCCAGGGCUCAACCUUGGAAUUGCCUUUGAUACUGGCUGUCUUGAGUACGGGAGAGGGGAGUGGAACUCCGAGUGUAGAGGUGAAAUUCGUAGAUAUUCGGAAGAACACCAGUGGCGAAGGCGACUCACUGGCCCGUUACUGACGCUGAGGCGCGAAAGCGUGGGGAGCAAACAGGAUUAGAUACCCCAGUAGUCC
rnacentral:rRNA from 1 species